GGAUUAGAUACCCUGGUAGUCCACGCCGUAAACGAUGAGUGCUAAGUGUUGGAGGGUUUCCGCCCUUCAGUGCUGGAGUUAACGCAUUAAGCACUCCGCCUGGGGAGUACGGCCGCAAGGCUGAAACUCAAAGGAAUUGACGGGGACCCGCACAAGCGGUGGAGCAUGUGGUUUAAUUCGACGCAACGCGAAGAACCUUACCAGCUCUUGACAUCUUCUGUUCACUCUAGAGAUAGAGCUUCCCCUUCGGGGGCAGAAUGACAGGUGGUGCAUGGUUGUCGUCAGCUCGUGCCG
rnacentral:rRNA from 1 species